rnacentral:rRNA from 1 species
UAAAAAGCUCGUAGUUGAAUUUCGGGGUUAGUAGGUUGGUCAUGCCUCUGGUAUGUACUGGUCUCACUGAUUCCUCCUUCCUGAUGAACCUUAAUGCCAUUAAUUUGGUGUUUUGGGGAAUUUGGACUGUUACUUUGAAAAAAUUAGAGUGUUUAAAGCAGGCUCGCGCUUGAAUACAUUAGCAUGGAAUAAUGAAAUAGGACGUUUGAUUCUAUUUUGUUGGUUUCUAGGAUCGACGUAAUGAUUAAUAGUGAUAGUUGGGGGCAUUAGUAUUCAAUUGUCAGAGGUGAAAUUCUUGGAUUUAUUGAAGACUAACUACUGCGAAAGCAUUUGCCAAGGAUGUUUUCAUUAAUCAAGAACGAAAGUUAGGGGAUCGAAGACGAUCAGAUACCGUCGUAGUC